CACCAGACUCCUACGGGAGGCAGCAGUGGGGGAUAUUGCACAAUGGGGGGAACCCUGAUGCAGCGACGCCGCGUGGGUGAAGGAGCGUUUCGGCGCGUAAAGCCCUAUCGGCAGGGAAGAAGGAGGACGGUACCUGACUAAGAAGCCCCGGCUAACUACGUGCCAGCAGCCGCGGUAAUACGUAGGGGGCAAGCGUUAUCCGGAUUUACUGGGUGUAAAGGGAGCGUAGGCGGUUAGAUAAGUCUGAUGUGAAAGCCUACAGCUUAACUGUGGGAUUGCAUUGGAAACUAUAGAACUAGAGUGUCGGAGAGGUAAGUGGAAUUCCUAGUGUAGCGGUGAAAUGCGUAGAUAUUAGGAGGAACACCAGUGGCGAAGGCGGCUUACUGGACGGCAACUGACGCUGAGGCUCGAAAGCGUGGGGAGCAAACAGGAUUAGAUACCCCCGUA
rnacentral:rRNA from 1 species